GCGGCCUGUUCGGCGGUGAGGUCGUCGGCCGCCGCGGGCGCGGCCGGCUGCGCGGGCGGCUGCGGCGGUUCGGCGUGCGCCGGUCCGCC
rnacentral:tRNA from 1 species